GGAAUAUUAGAACUCGUUUCUUAAUUUUUAACUAAAAAAAUUAAGAACCAUCUCUUAAAACUCUUAUUUAAGAACCGGUUCUUACAUUUUUUUAGUUAAAAGUUAAGAGGAUUCUCAUAUUCC
rfam:Brassica napus, WGS project CCCW01000000 data, contig: 4466